GCGCCCGUAGCUCAAUGGAUAGAGCAACGGACUUCUAAUCCGUAGGUUGCAGGUUCGAUCCCUGCCGGGCGUG
rnacentral:tRNA from 1 species